UGCAAGUCGAGGGGUAACAUAAGUGCUUGCACUUGAUGACGACCGGCGCACGGGUGCGUAACGCGUAUAGAAUCUACCUUUUGCUGAGGAAUAGCCCAGAGAAAUUUGGAUUAAUGCCUCAUAGUAUGUUUUUAUCUCAUGAUGAUAACAUUAAAGGUUACGGCAAAAGAUGACUAUGCGUCCUAUUAGCUAGAUGGUAAGGUAACGGCUUACCAUGGCAACGAUAGGUAGGGGCCCUGAGAGGGGGAUCCCCCACACUGGUACUGAGACACGGACCAGACUCCUACGGGAGGCAGCAGUGAGGAAUAUUGGACAAUGGAGGCAACUCUGAUCCAGCCAUGCCGCGUGCAGGAAGACUGCCCUAUGGGUUGUAAACUGCUUUUAUACAGGAAGAAACCGCUCUACGUGUAGAGCUCUGACGGUACUGUAAGAAUAAGGAUCGGCUAACUCCGUGCCAGCAGCCGCGGUAAUACGGAGGAUCCAAGCGUUAUCCGGAAUCAUUGGGUUUAAAGGGUCCGUAGGUGGAUAAUUAAGUCAGAGGUGAAAGUUUGCAGCUCAACUGUAAAAUUGCCUUUGAUACUGGUUAUCUUGAAUCAUUAUGAAGUGGUUAGAAUAUGUAGUGUAGCGGUGAAAUGCAUAGAUAUUACAUAGAAUACCAAUUGCGAAGGCAGAUCACUAAUAAUGUAUUGACACUGAUGGACGAAAGCGUAGGUAGCGAACGGGAUUAGAUACCCCGGUAGUCUACGCCGUAAACGAUGGAUACUAGCUGUUCGGAACUUGUUUCUGAGUGGCUAAGCGAAAGUGAUAAGUAUCCCACCUGGGGAGUACGUUCGCAAGAAUGAAACUCAAAGGAAUUGACGGGGGCCCGCACAAGCGGUGGAGCAUGUGGUUUAAUUCGAUGAUACGCGAGGAACCUUACCAGGGCUUAAAUGUAGAUUGACAGGACUAGAGAUA
rnacentral:rRNA from 1 species